rnacentral:misc_RNA from 1 species
GAUGAAGAACGUAGUGAAAUGCGAUAAGUAAUGUGAAUUGCAGAAUUCAGUGAAUCAUCGAAUCUUUGAACGCACCUUGCGCCUUUUGGUAUUCCGAAAGGCACACCUGUUUGAGCGUCAUGAAUACCUCAAUCUCCAUCUUUUCUUCGGAUUGAUGGGUGACUUGGAUGUUGAGCCCUGCUGGUAUGCUAUAUCAGCUGGCUUUAAACUUAUUAGCCGGCUCUGUACUGGAUCGGUUUGACUCGACGUGAUAAUAUUAUCGUUGAGGAUGCAUGUCUCAUGCAGCCGGAAAGUAUCAAAGCAGCUUCUAGCUUGCCUUUAGUGCACUUUUACAUUUUAGACCUCAGAUCAGGUGGGACUACCCGCUGAACUUAAGCAUAUCAAUAGCGGAGGA